CGCCUUCCCCCGGUCACAUCAUGCUGCCCCCACACCUCCCUGUCCCCCACCGCGGCCCUUCCGAGCCGGGGGAGAGCCCCGCCGGCACCCCGGGGGUCCGGCCCGCGGCCGGCAGCGCUCCCGGAGGCUCCCGCCUCAACACAGAAAAUCCUUCCUGCAGCGUGGGCCAGGUUAUACUGGAUGCCUCAUACAGGGCAGUAUCUUAUUCCAUGCAUGACUUACUCAUGUUGCAAAAGCAGGCCCUUGUGAUUAUAUAACAGCUCUCAAGAGGAAGCUGCUAACAAGACCAUCUGACAUUUUUUUGCCAGCUGUUUUAGUGGAGGCGUGUUGGAUUAGACUGAGCUCCACCUUCUUUGACGAGCAAAGCAUUUGGAAAAUGACAGAGCCUGAAGAAAAACGAAAUUCAAAAUCAAGAGUAGUCUACAAGCUCCUUCUCAGCAAGCCUGUCUGUUAGGAGUCAUGACUUCACAUGAUGCAGUGACUCCUGCUAAGUUUCUGAUGUAUGGUGCAUUUUACAUGAAAUUGCUGCUUGAUACAGUACAGAAGAAGGACCUGUAGAAGGGAAAAAAAAAGAUGCCUCCUUAUAUCCUAGACUUUAUCUUGAAAAGCGAUCAUGAACCAUGAUAGAUGAAGAGUUAAUGGAUAUUUGUCUCCAAGACACAUUUUAAGACACUAGAAAUUUUUCAUGCAGAUGCUGAAUGAUUUCCCAGUAGUGUGGAGGACAGUGCAAACAUGUGGAGUUUUGUGAAGUGGUUCUGUUUCUUGGUGUGGACAAGAGAGAUUAGUGGAAUCAUCUCACGGUCUUCUGGUAAUUGCUAGAGAAAUUAAUGGAGUUUUUGGAAAAGGUUCUAUGAUAAACAUGAGAUGGUUGAAGAAGAACCUGGUGCACAUCAUGAUCAAAUGUUUGAUGACAUAUUUUGCUCCACCAGCCAGAUGAAGGAACAGACUCCCUGAUUAAGGAAAAUUUGAGAUGUCUUGUUUAGAAUGAAGACUAACUUGGAACCGUAGGAAUUUCCUCCAUGCAGAACAGAAUGUUUGAGUGUUUAUCAGCUUUUGGAGAACUGCGGCACUCUCUGACAAUGGAAACUUUAUGCCAGAUCAAUACAUCAAAGACAAGAGAAACACAUCACAAAGUUACUCAGAGCCUCUCCUGAGGUCAGUGUGCCAUAGUUCAGUGAGAAGCACAGUGUCUUCAGAUGGUGCUGAACAAGCAUUGCUUAAAAAAGCAACAAGGGGAAGGAAAGCAUGCUUCAAUCCAAACCAAAAAGAAACUUUUCCCCAUGAUGUGCUGUUAAAAGAGGUGAGAUAUCCAGAAAAAAAUGGAAAAAAGAAGUAGCUGACCAAUAAGCUACCUAGAAAGCAUCCAGCCUGGAUCUCAGCUAUGAAAUGUAUCUACAUUUAAUAACUCAGUCUUAAAGAGGAUUAAAAAUCAUAUGAAAGCCAGUCAUUUUACUGCAGAUGAAGAGCUGCCCUUCCAAGACACCCUGGCAGCUCCACACAGAUCUGGCGAGUCCAGGCAGCCAUGGACUCGACCUAAAAAAUCCUCUGAGAAUGUCCCCUAUGCAGGGAAAUAUCAGCAAGUUGCAGAACUUCUUUUGUGACUAAUGCUCCAUCUAACAUGAUGGCUAAGGGAUGGCAUGCCUCAUGUGUUCAGCCAAGUAGAAAUUAGACAUUUUUCAUGUUGUUUUAUAUUACAUUGACACUCACCGACACCAACUUUCUUCCUUUUCUUAGUCUGUGGGCUUGUGCCUUUUUUUUUUUUUUUUUUUUUCACUGUAGCCUUAUAAUAGGCAUAAAUUACAAAACAUAACAGAAUAAUCUCUUUCCUGUCCAAUGAUUGGCACGAAAAGGAACUUUUAAGUUCUGGAAGCUCUUAAGGUCUUCUUCAUAAAGCAGAUGAGUUUCUCAACAUUCUACAGGCAUUUUUGUAAAAUUACCUAGGCAAGAGCAAUCCUAGCCAAAACCAAGCUUUAUUAAAAACAGAGAAAAUGGAAUCCAAAGAAACAAUUUCCUGAAUAGCAGUGAGCUUAACACUUCAGUAAACCAGGCUUUCUAUGAUGGCACAUGGCAGUGGGGGUUCAGAUAUAAAAUUUCAGGUAGUUCACAAAACAAGGACAGCUAAUGCAUAUGUCACGCUUUUCACACACUUCAUUCUCACCAGAGAAUCACAUUGUUAUAUACAUUGCUAUUAAAACACCACUAUACCAAAAUUUUUGGUGUUCAUUACAAGUACUUUUUAAGUUAGACACACAAAGUGAAACACAACAUCAAAUUUCAGAAGAGCAUAUCCCUCAUGAUAGCCUCAUACGGCAACUUCCAUGUAAGUCAAAUAGAUUAUGUUAUGUUCUGUCUGGAGUGAACAUACACUUUAAACUUAAGAAUUCAUUAUUAUUAACAAUGACAACAACAAAAAAGUGAAUUUACUUUGCCACAGAAACCAGAGCAACUGACAUAAAAUUUGGAAAAAAGUGAGAAGCUUUCAUCAGCAUGAGAGCUUCUAUUUCUUUUCCAGUUCGACAAUUUAUCCUAGUAAAAAGGCUUUACCUCUCUAUAAAAGUUUUUCCCUUACCUUUGUUCAGAGCACUCCAUUUACCUAAGUACCCCAAAGACAUCAAAAGUUCAAAAUUAUCUUCCAUAUAUAUAUAUAUGCUUAUAUAUAUAUAUAUAUGCUUCUAUAUAUAUAUACACUCAUUAUCCUUCCCUACUGCUAGUGCCAUGCCUAGAUAAAAGAGAAGGGAAGUGCAAAGAUUAAAUUAUCCCUAACGUUGCUAACCAACCCAAAGAUUCUAUGGAAUGGAAAUGUCCAAAUAAAGAUCUUGAGUUCAGUAUGGAAUGGUAAGAUCUUCAAGGCUAUACCUUGUAGGGUCAUUGUUGUUGUGCUAAAACAAUUCUGUGUCAUCUUUCUGAUUUUUCCUUAACUGAAUGAUGUCUGCCCACAGCAGGAAAGAGUUCAGUACCCCCUCCUGGCAGAUGCACCUGAAAAUGGAAAUAUUUUGAAUAAAUAUGUGGCAUAUUGAGUCUUCAAUAGGAAGUUAGAGAACAAGUUGCUUCUGGCCCUAGCAAUUCUUAGACUAUGAGAAAGAGGAAGGAAAUCUAUAGAAUAGUAUACAUUUUCAUGGUAAAUUAUGAGAAAAAUUAUGCAGCUUAAAAUAUUGCUUUCAAGUAUUCCUCAGAUAAUCAUUGACUCCAUGUGUUUAAAUACACAUACUUAUUGAAUUGUAGAUCUCUUGCUGUACAUGCUUUCAUCAAAAUGACUCAACCAUAACUAUUUUCACUGGAGUUAAGGCACAUGCUGCAGAGUUUCCAGUACAGUCUUAUUCUUUGUCAUCUUUCUUAUUCUUAGCUCUGAAAUUAAGGCCUUAUGUUUUAAUAAGUGAAGAAGAUACAAGAUACACUACUUCCACAAUCCAAGAAAGUUUUUUUUAGGUAUAGUCACACUAGGCUGAGUCUUUGUUUACAGAACAGUUAAGGUUUCUACUUAUUAAAAGAGAUCAAAUAUAUACUGAACUCCACUUUAUCCAUUGCAGAAAUCAGCUUCAGAAUUUUGUUAUGAAGCUGUAAAACAGAGCACCAAGUGGGACUACAGAUUCCAAAACUCUGUCAGAGAAUCCCUUGGGCACUUCAACAGCGAUUAAAUCUACAGAUUAUUCAGGACAAAAUAACUUGGCUUGCUUUUUGGCACCAGAAAAAAAAAUACCACCAUUUCUAAGACCUCAGUUUCAGUUUGCUCCUGAUUUCCCAAACAUCUCAAAUUCUCACUGCUGGAAUUCCUCACUGCUGAAUUCCUUCCAGUUUUCUGUUGAAGAGCCUUCUUUACAGAAAUAUCACAAAAUUAUCUGAUGGCAAAUAUGGGUAUUUUCUAAACCCACAGCUUAACUAUCUAAUCCCUGCAUUUAAGCCUUGAUCUUCAUUUCAGUCAUAGAUGAAGCUUCCAACUCUGAUUAAGGGAAGUUAGGAGAUUCAAUCCUUUCACUUAAAAUAAGGAAUAGGCAGAAUAGCAGCAAUAUUGUACUCUAACCAUCAGAAAAGCAGUUUCAGGGUCUGUAAAAGUAUCCCCACAAUCUACUUAAAAAAAAAUAGGGGGGGAAAAACACCUGAGCAUCACCUCUCUCUGUCUAGGAAGUGUAAUACAGACUGGCAAAAAUAAGACCAGGCAGUGUCUUAAGAAAUGGAGGACAUUUGAAGGCAGAAAUCUAUAUGGGCUGCACACGUGUACCUUCAACUGCACAUCACAGAAAAGUAAGAUUCAGGAUCAGGGUGGCCAUUUUAGGCUGACCUGCUAAAACAUCCCACAAAGCAGACUAUCCAGCAGUGCUAGUGCAAGUCAUGUUUUCAUAAAGAACUGCCCCAUACAACCAAAAAUCUGUAAUUCACUGUGGCACCAAGACUGCAUAAUACCACUGCAUUGCAAUUUCAAAAUAAUAUAAAUUCAUACUUCAACCAAAAUAUGUAGUCCUUGUUGCCUGUUCCUGCCACUCCUAAGGCUUUCUUCUUCGCACACUCCUCCAGCUAGGGCAAGUUCAAUUCUACUAACUUAUCCACUGUCAUACCAAAAUAUGCCUCUUUUCAAAUAUUUGCUUUGAUCAUUUUACAGUGAGGCUGGUUUACUGACAUGCCUUAUGUGAUGAGUACCCAUGAAGUGGCUUCAACAGUUGCUCCUUCCAUUUUUGGAUAUGGUAGAAAGAUUACUCUAAUUAUAUACUUAUAAUACCAUCCAAAAUGCAACUCUCUGUGCUAUAGGACCAGCAGUCUGCAGAGUGCUGCCUUUCUUAUUGAUGAGUAUUGGAACAGUAACUAAAAUCUGGUCCAAUAGCCAGAAAACUGUAACUUAUGGAGUGACACACACACAAAGGCUUGUUUUGAUUUCAGUAUAUCUCAUUUGACAAGUGUUUACCUAGACAGCAUGUAGUCAAAAUGCACAUUGUCAUUUUCUGCAACCCCAAGUAUGUGAUGUGUCAAAAUUCCUGUGAAAAUAGAUAAACAAAAUCUGAAAUUUCCAGAUGGAUGGCUCUAUUGCAGGCAAUUUACCCAUGAUUCUAGUUUAAAAAUGCUUUAAAUCACUUGUUAAAAUACAAACACCUGACUCAAAAUAUUAGUACUUGAAUCACAGUAUACUUGCUGUAAUCAUGAAAGAAAACUCUAAGUUUCUAGUGUCUAGUCAGAUCGGCUAGGUUCUUUGAUUUUGGUGGAUCUCGUUUGAUAUAGUACUUAGGUGUCCUGUUAGAUGGAAAAAGUACAAAAUGUUUCCUGAGAAGCCCAACACAGGCAGAUAGACCAAAAUGACUCAAACUGUCCACAGCAGUCUGAUGUAUUCAAGCUCUGGCAAAAUGGAGAAAAAAGCUGUUGAGUCCAUUUUCUGUGGCUUGUCUUCUGAGCACUUUUAUACUUUUCUGUAGUACAUUAAACAUUCAGCCUGAAUGCCCAAAGCUUGGUUUUUCAGGAAAAGUUAUAUGUGCCCUCUAGAUGUCCUCUUUGUGAUUUUAUGUACUUAAAAGUUAAGUAUGACAGCUGUAGCUCUGUAUGUGGUUUGAGAGAUGUGGUUUGCAGUUAUAUAAAGUCUCUAGAGUGGAUCUUAAAAGUGUAGAUACCUAGAAGUGUAAAGUGUAAUCAGUUUAUGCAUUUUCUUCUCUUUCAUACCUAUCUAAUAUAGUACAAAUGCAGAAAUGCACAAGUAAUGUGAAAUUGUGUAUUGACUCUUGAUGAGUCAAUUGACUCUUGAUGAGUCAAUACACAAUUGAACAUGCUUUGUAACUCCCCUCAUUACCUAGAAUGGUUGUGGAGGCUGGAAGGAAGCUCAUAGCAAAGUGACAAUUCUAAGUUUAAUGAUAUCAGAAAAGUAUACAGGCAACCCCUGAAAUUCUGACACUGGCCAUAACAAUUCUUUAGCUUACAUAAUUUUGUAUAUUGCUGAUAAAAUACUGUACAAAUAGUUGCUUGCAUUUUAGAGGAUACCUCAGUGUUUUUGUUUUUAAAUCAAACUUGAGCCUGAAUUUUCUCAUGAUUACAUCAGUUUUACUGAUUUUAGUCCUCAUAUAUGGAGUAUAAAGGAAGAAUAUUCAAUGAAGGGAUAUAGAACUCUAUUGUACUGGAGUUUUAAUCACUGUCUCAUCUCUUGUCCUGAUACAGCGGCAGCUACAACCCCUACAGUCAGGGAGAGCUGAAAUAUCCCCAAGUCCGUCUGCCAAAAUGAAUAGCUGAAAUUGAGAAUAAAUUCCUUUCUUACCCCAUACUCCCAAACAAUUUCCUGAAAAAAAUAAAUAUGCAAUUUUAAUGCUGAACUCAUUGUUCUAUCUUGCAUAGCUACAGAAAAUAUUAGUGGUCAUAAAAUGAUUCAUUCAUUUUAAAUGUCCACUGACUCAGUGACAACUAACAGCAGCAGUACAUUCCAUAAUUCCAAAGCAGGUCUUCCAUAGAUAACACAUAGAAGUCUUUGGUUUUUUAAACUGUAACAUCUUGUCACAACAAAAUCCAAAAGAAAACUUUACCUGCAGACAGAGUUGAAUACAGCAUUGGACUUGGCUUUGAGAUAGAGGAGAAAGAAGCACAUAUUGUGUAGUAUCCUAUUACCUCUUAAACACAGCUUAAACUAUUUAUGUUAAACACCUGUUUUCAUUUCUGUUUUCUAGAUGUGACCCUUUUGUUUUAUUAUACGGUCAUGUUUUAAUCUGAGGUUAAUAGGGAGGAAGGAAGGAUUGAAAAGUCUUUUUCAUUGUGAAAAGCCAGUGCUAAUCAUUAGUAUUUGGUGCUACUAAAUUUGGUUCAUGUUUUUCCCACAUUUUCCAUAGCAUAGGUCUUGUGAAUCUUAUUACAGUGCAGCCCCUCAACCCAAUUUAUUAAACAAUGUCUUACACUGAUAUAAAUUAGUAAAGUUUUAUACAGAGUACAACAAACUAAGCACUAAGUAAAUGCUAAAUUUUACUUAGAAUAAUUGUUCUCUGUGAGUAGUUCUCUAUCUGUUCAUGAAAAGCUGCAUCUCAGAUAUGUGUAAUGAUAAUGGAUGACAAUGAACAAGAGAUCAUCCCUAAUUUCUUAAUCCUGUAAUGAGUUAAAUUUUGCUCCUCCUCUUCUUUUGUUAAGCUGUUUCAAGACUUUACUCAGUGGAUUGUAAGGAAGCUUUUUUUUCUUCUUUCCUAAAUUAAUUCAGGUGUCUUUGCCUCCCAGAAUUAUCAUUCCAGUUUUUACUUUGAGCUAACAUAAUUCACAGAACAACCAUAUUUUGUCUGUGCUCUUUUUUUUUUUUUUUCUCUCAUACCAAAGAAGAUUAUCAGUUCCCUGUUAGGAUGACUGGUCCUUCUUUCUACCUCUUCUGAUGUGAAUUCAUCUUUGCACACAACUUAAGAUAGAGAGGCUGCUGUUUAUUGUCACCUUGCAUCACCAUUUUAAUAUGACCCUAUAUCUGCUGGAAAUAUUUUGCUUUUUCUGUGGUCUAGCAUCACAUUACAUUUUAUCAUCAUACUAGUGACUCAUAGUAAUCUUGUGAUUAAGUUCUAUGCCCAGCUCUUUUGCUUGAUCUGUCAUUUCUAGCUGACCAGAACCUCCUCCACGCCCAUCCCCCCCCCCCCUUUUUUUUUUAUAAUGGGACUUAUUAGUCACAGUACGCUUGGUGAAAAAAUAUGUUAGCUAGUACAUUCAGGAAUAAAUGGGUCCUACCAUACUCGGUAGCAUGUUUUUUUCCAGUUUGUGUGUGAAAAAAUUGUGAAAAAAUUAAUGUGUCUAUAUAAUGAUACAGCAAAAUAUUGAUGAGGUCUUCAUCCAGGUUUAAAUUUGACCCAAGGGAAUGACCAAAUUCAGAUCCUAAUUCAAAUUACUUCUUUCAAUUUGAUGUUGACCUUAAAAUUUCAGUUUUAUCCAUGUUAUUGAAAAUUUUUACUUGCAGAAGUUCUCUUUAUUAAACUGUGGCAGUACUCUUAAUUUUAUUUCUAGCUGUUAGAACGGUAUGUAUUUCAAUACCAACAUUCCAAUGGUGACAGCCCUUCCACCAUGUGUUGAUACAUCUCUACUACCUGAUUUCAGGUCCUUCUCUAUUGGUUCCACUUCCUGUGGUUUGUAACCUUGCCACCUUUCACACAUUCCUGGUAGCUAAGUUGCCUUUCAUUUAUUUUAUUUAUUUAUUUUUUUUUUACUGUGUGAUAAAUCAGGUUUGGAGAGUUGGACAAAACUCUUCUGAACUUCUUCCUUUAAAUGUCUUCUGAAUUCAAGUUUGAAUCUUACAAAUUGGUCUCAGAUAGAGACCAUAUUAAGUGGCCAUUUUCUCUGAAUGCUUGCUUGUAAAUUUAUUUAUUUUUGUUUUCUUAAGUGUAUUUAUCAGAUCGGAAUCAAUUUAGCAAUAUAGCAAAAUAGCAAUUUAUUUUUAUUAAUAUUUUUAAUAUUUUUAUAGUUUGGGGUGGGCAAGAGAUCAAUUUAUUUGUAGAAAUACUACUACCACUUACCAUAAAAGGAUAUAUAUAGAAGUAAACAACUGAUUCCCUCCAGUUCAAGAAACACAGGCUGUGCAGAAAUUGUUCAGAGUUAAGAAUCUUGAUUAGGCAGCAGAAAUAUUCAGUGUAAAUCAAGCCACAUGCAAGCCACAAAGCCAUUUUGACUUCCACUUCUCAGAAAGCUGUUUGUGGAUAUAGAGUUUAUGCUGACAAAUCUCCUUCCCAUCACCUCAAUCCAAAGAAAUGUCCCUAAGAAAAUGCUUUCAGAGAGAUAUACAAUCGUCAGCUAGCAAUCCUUUCAUGUUGGAUACCUGUCUUUUUGCCAGAAUAGGCCAUUUUUGAUUCACGUGUGAGCAAUAUAUAUUUGUUGUGUUUCUGAUUUCUUCAGACACUUCUGCUCCCUCCAGCUGAUUGAACAGCUGACUUAUUCUGAACAGAGCUAGACAAUUCUUCUUGGUGGAGCAGAUAUCACUGAACAGCAUGUUUGCAUUUAUUUAUGUCUGUAUUCUGACUUACAUUCCAUUUCACUUAAGGGGCUUGGGAAAGUAUAGAGGCUCCAUCAAAGGAUAAACUGAUCUGAAAUAAAAGAUUAAAGUCACAUUUAGUUUCAUCCCCUAAACCUAGAGAAGUCUUCAGAGACUUCUACCAUCCUAUCUAUCUGGCAUAUUUGGAUAUCAACCCCCAAAUUAGGUUAUUGAAAUAGGGGUUGCUGGCUUCAGUAGAUGUUACUUCUCUCCCAGUGAUAGCAGCGGGGUUCAUCAACUCUUAGGAUAAUUAAGCUAUAGAAGAUUCUGGGGAUUCUCUUUUGUACAUUUUUCUUUAAUGAUUGGUUUGUUCAUACAAAAACUUGCAACAACGUAUGCAAGCAUAACUAAUAGCACUGAACACAGAGACUGGAUUUCUUUAUGUUCAAAGUUCCAGUGCAGAGCCAAGCUGAGAGCCAAUAUCACUAAUGACAUUUAGGUUUAUAUACAUACACAGGUUUUUAUUUGUAUAUUUUGAACUUUGUAUCCCCAGAACACUGGGGAACCUGAAAUUCCUCUUGUACUUCUCUCUGUGAAAAAAAAAAAAGAAAAAAAAAAAAGUGGGGACCGGACAUUUUCCAUUUAUUAUUUUUUUUUCCCACUUGCCCUUGGACAUUUGCAUAUGGCAUUUUGGCAAAUACAGGUGUAUAAUUCAUGCUGAUCCUUUUGUCUGCUUGAAAAAGGUUUCUGCCUUUGGAAAAUGUAGCUCUAUAUAUUCUUGGGCACUUUUGACAACACUACAUAAUUUUUGUUGUUGUUUCCAUAGCCCACUUUGUUGGCCAAAGUGACUCUGUGUUGACACUACGUUGGCCAAAAGAACUCCUGCAGUUUCAAUUGGCAAGGUUAUUUUCCAGUUCCUUCCCUAGAUUACUGGGACAUUUAGCUAACUUUAUACAGCUUCCUUGUUCCAUCCAAAAGAUGGGAACAUUUUGUUGAGAGCAAAGUGUGUCCUCUUUACAUACUGUUUAUUUUACGUUUAAGGAGUUCUUGAGUCAGGAUGUCACUUUAUGGUUUUAAUAAGGAAGCUGUCAUUUUUAUUUAUUUAUUUUUAACUGAAAAUUAUUAACUGAGAAGAUACAGAUAUUUCAAUCCAAAGGUCUUUAUACAUAUUUUGCCAUAACUUACUUUACCUCAUCAAUUGUUCAGAAUCUGCAAAUGUAACACACUUGCACAAAAUGUGAUGGAAUGAAAAGCUUGUUAGUCAUUAGCACUAGUCAAUAAAAGAAAACAACUAAAAAGCUUGAAUAUAAUUUGUGUAUUUUACUCUUGUGUAUUUCUGUGCAUACCUUAACAUCUGUUAUAUGUUCUUCCUCUUUUACCUCCUCUUAUUUCUUUUCUGUGGUACUUUUCCUGAAGUAUCUUGGGAACUUGAAAACAAAUAGAUGAUCAGUCAUUUUUCUUAAAAACGGAUUCCCUCCAACUGAAACACUGAAGGCAAACUUCCAUGACAAGAGAAAUCACUUAUCAAAGAGACAAGACCAAUUACUUGUUAAAACAAAAACAGUUUCCAAGCAUCUUCAGCUUCCUGGAUAAAAUUCUUCAAUUGUUGGUUAAUCCAGUUCAACACAUUUCCUUAUGUGGUGAAUAAGCCAUUUCAAACUCCUGCUCCUAAUUUUAAUGAAGGUUAUCUGAUAUAUAGAAAAAUACUUCUACGGUGGCUGCAUUAAUAACUCACUGCAAAUACACUUGGACAAGAGAGAGUACUGUCUACUGGGUAUUUUUGUCCUAUAUCAUGUCUUUCUCAAAUGCAAUACUGGUUGAACCUUGGCCUUGGCUCUUCUCCUCCUGCACCUUUGAGUUGCAUCAGUAGAAAACUGGCUGUCUGAGAGUUAUCCCAGGGUCUCUUCACAGGUUAGGAGCAGUAAUGAAAUUAAUGAAAGUGAAGAUAAUUUAUGGUGAUACGUGGAGCAUGGAAAGUGGGCUGGAGUUUUUCAUGGAAAAAACAAGGAGAUUUGCUGGCAAAUCAUCUUGUGAAGAAGCUAGGAGAGAAAUGAUCAGCUCUGGCUUCUGAUGGAUUUCACAGAAGUCUAUAACCUGUGGAAUUGAUUUCCAGUCAUGUUCUUCUACCAGCUGAGCCUGAUAAGACCUAAAUCCCAGCUCACUUAUUCCAGAGCAAUCGGAAUUAUGAACAGACAAGGCAUGCUGGCACAAUGAUCUGUCAAGAGCUGAGAAUCUAAACCAGUGUUACCUACUGCAGAAGAAAAGCUGUAUUUAAAUUCAUGUAUGAAAUGGAAGAUAUUUAAUUUACAUUUAUGUAAAGGUUCUAAGUUGGUUUAUCUAAAUUGCAUAUUUCUAUCUCAGGUGAUGGCACUUCAUAGGAAAUUCACCUUUGGGUGUGUAUAUAAUGAGUUUGUGCUACUUAAUUCUUUGCAUUUUAUUGGUAACUAUUACUAAAGAUUCAGAAGAAAAUUUUUAAAAAAGAUAAAACAAACAUCAAAACAACAACAACCUGUAAGCCAAAUCUAAUUUAUUUUCAAGAAUCUCCAGUUAUCACUCACAUAUCCUUGCCAAACAUGUCAUUUCUCUUAGCAACGGUACACAUGUCUUUAACAAGUAUUUUAACCUGUGAAAGUCACAGAGCACAUUUCUGAAUUGCAAAGUUAUGUUCAGAUAUCACGGGGUUGAUAAUGAUAAAUUGCUUCCCCUUCUUACAAGGUCAUGGAAGCUAUUCUUGCAGGGUACACUCAGUGUUUCAGCGCAGGUGGUUUGAAUGAAUUUUUGUCUUUCCAGUGGAAUCUGGCUUUACUUUAUUGUAGUGUUAUGUCAUUGUGUAUGUGGAACAGUGCACACACAGUUGGUGAAAAAUGUUAUUUCUACAGAGAAAGAUUCUUUUGCAAAGAUAAGAGUAGUGUAAUACAUUUUUUUUUUUUUUGGUAAUUCAUUUGUAUUUUAAAGUUAAAUUGUCAUCUGACGUAGGUCGGAGUAAUUGUUAGAUGGCAACUUGGUAGAGAUACAACUAGAUGUUUCCAAAAUUCUCCUUUCAGUUUUGCAUGCACAUAAUGGGUAGUGCAGUUUUUAGUGCUGUUUAAAACCCCCUUUAAAACAGGUCUUUCUGGGUUGCCAAAUGUUAGCAGUGGAUAUACAGACAAAGUAAAAGACUGACCAGUAUUUUACAGCCACAUUGGUGGUUGUUUCUGUCAUCACUUUGGGAUGUGUAAGGCUGAAUGAUGUGGCAACAUAGCUGACUUUGAUUGUAUGUCUGCCAGAACCACAAAUCUGUUGCUGUAUGGAAUGUACCUUUUUUCUAUUUAAUAAGUGAAGGCAGAAACAAUAGAUGGAGGUUCUCACAUCUCUUCUAUCUCUCAUUCCCAUCUUUGGAUUGCCUGCUAAGUGCUCCAAGUUCAAACUAGCCUCUGAAUUUGAUAUACAGGAUCCUGCUAUCUCAUUCAUGUCUUUGUAAGGCACAUUAAUACUUAGCAAUAUCAUUAAAAAAUCAUCUUUACUCCCAACAUGUAGUUAACCAAGUAGGUCAGACAGACCUGCAAUGAAAUCACAUUGCCAGUGUCCUCUUUUAAGCUUUCUACAGCAUCUUGUUUCCUCCAAGGCUAUCUUUUAGACAGUGAGUUUCAUAGGGCAAACCUUAUUUAUGGCUUGUUUAGUGCUAAAUGCUAUUUUGGUGUUUAAAAGAUUCAUCAUAAACAUAGUCCAAUGUACUUAUAAAAACAGCUUUGCCUGACCCAGUGCCUUAAUAAUGUUCUUUAACUUCCCUUUAAUCUUUCGGAAGAAACAUUUUAAUAGCCACUGCAGUGUAAUUCACCAGUUCUUGAACUUUAUUCUGGAGUACUGAUUUCCAAAUAGUGGAUUCAGAUUAGAAUUUGCAAACAAGGUUUGAAAAGCUCAUCUAAAAUUGAGAUUCUUGCCCAGACAUUGGGAACAGAAGAUGGAAUGCAUAUUUUGCUUUCUGGUAGAGCUUUUGGGUAUAGGUAACCUUAUGGUUAGAUCUGGAUUUAAAAAAAAAAAAAAAAAAGCCUUGAGAACCUCUUCUGUUAGAACCUCAGAUCCACAUAACUGGCAAGAAUAAGAAUGCUGAUAUAAUUGGGGAUUAAUAUCUUUUAUUUUCCUGUAGGAAUUGGUAGAAGAUAGGGUUAGGCUUUUGGAAAGGAGGGCUGUAUCAAGUCUGAUUUACUGCUGGAUUUGUAAGGGUUUGGGAGAAGGCUGGCAAACUCAUAAGCAAAUAUUUUAUUUUCAGUAUUCCUGGACAAAUUUUCCAUUUAAGGAAGGUUUGGGAUAAGGCUAGGGAACUGGAAAAAAACAUGUCUAUAAUAGCUUUUUGUGGGGUCUUCAGAGGUAGAAGUAUUAUGGUGUAGGCAGGAGCAUAUGCUUCAUAUUAGGUAUUCCAGUACAGUUUCAUCCUCUGUCUACAGUACAUGUUAAUUUUAGGGCUAGGGAUAGAAUCGUGCUUUCAGAAAAGAAGGUAGAAAGCCUUUUUAUUCUUGCAUUCUGCUAGACUGGCAGAGAUAGGAUUUAAGUUUGCAUAAUCAGGAACAAAUACUUUAUAUUAAAAUUUACCAUGAAGAUUGGUCACUUUCAAUUAAUAAAUUUUAGGCUUAGGUUUAGGCUGGCAUUAUGGCCCAAAAGAGGGAGGCUGUAUCAGUCAAACUCACAGUUUGAUUGUUUAGGACCAACAGAGCUAAGAAAUAAGGUUGGUUGUUAAUGACUCAAUCAUUUUUUCUUCAUGAAUCAGUCCCUUGGCUGCAUUUCAGUUUUUGCUUAAAAACGGGAGCAGAGUUAAGAAGAAAAGGCUUCCUGAGCCCAGCUUGUCACUGAAUCUGGAAUGGCUUCAGGGAAAGGAAACAGAUGGAGGACUAAGGGAUAAAGAGGACAGAUGGUCUUUAAAACAUCUUCUUGUGGUCAUCUAAGUGGCAGAAGGAAGCUGGAGAUUUUAACUCAUGCUUUUCCUUUCUCUACUCUUUGCCAUUUAUAAAGAGUCUGCUUUACAGACAAUAUCUGUCUUCAAAAUACAAUAUGUCUAAUGUUCCUUGGUGAAACAUACACAGGAGAAGACUGGCUUUUCAUUGAGAUAUCAAGGGGUAGAGACUACUGCUGUCUUCCUGGGUGUUGUGGGAAGAGCUCAAUUACUCUGAUAGAAAUCAAGAAAACCUACAUUAUAGAAGAAUGCUUUCCAUGGAAUUAUCUUACAAAGAUUAAACUAAUUGUUCAAAGAGACCUCACAAAUCUCUGAUGACGUCCUUAAUAAACCCCUGAGUGUGAGAAGAAAUUUGAAGAUUUAUUUUUAAUAUCAACAUUUUGCAGGAAAUAAUCUUUAUAUAAUUUAGUCCAUGCUCCUAUAUAGCAGAAGUUACAUAAUUUAAACUAGUUACUCAUGGACUGAGCGAAAUUACCUUUGAUUAGAAGUUGUAGUUCAGAAAGGCAUCUAGUCUUGAUUUAAGAAUGCAAAGAGGUGAAGAAUCCAUGCCAGGCUAGUUUGCUCUAGCAGUCAUUGUCCUCUGUAUCUCUACAGACACUGCCUGAACAAUCACUUUCUGCUCAUGCAAAGUAUUCCAACACUUGCUCUAUGAUUCAAGAUAUCUGUGUAGAGUCAGUUGACAGAAACUGUGGCACCAUUACAUGGAAAACCUCAAGUCCUUUGAAUGGAAAUAUUGUGGAUGAAAUAGAUCAUUUACUUCAACAAAAACCCUCUUAAAGACUUACUUCGCUUCAAAAGAGGACUGAGAAGAUGUAUCAAACUCUCCCUGAAUAAGAAAUGCAAGAAGUUCCUUCUAGGGCAGUUCAGUACAAAUAUCUAGCCUAGAUGCAUUGCAUCUCUGCUGCUGCAGAAACCUGUCUGUCUGAACCACUAAUAAUAUGUGUCACAAGUAGCUAAUUUAGGUAGCUAACUCAAAUCCUUGUGUUGGGAUUGUUUGUAAAAAUACUCACAGCAGUGGAUUAAACACAUUCCUCUGACAGAGAUUGGUAAGUUUUUGUUGUUGUUGUUUUGUUGUUUUAGCAUUGCAAGAUAAAUUUCAUGAGUCUGAUCUAGGGAAAGAAGGAAGGAAAAUGCAGACUUUGCAAUUGCAGUUGAGAAGGAACAAAAAUGAUUUAGUUUACUUACCAGUACUAUUCUAGCCUCCUUAAAAUUAUAAAUUAAAAGUUAGAUUAAAAGUUAGCUUGUACAAUUAAAAAGCCAAAUUUAUUAUUCUUUGAUUUUAUUACUGUAAUAAAAAUGAUAACAGUUUUCUCAAAAACCAGGUGUUCAACCUGAUGUUCAUCAUUUCAAAGGAAUGAACAAUGGCUAAUCUCAGCACCAAAAUUUGAACUUUAUGUAAUACUCAUGACCAGACACCAGGCCAUCAAAGUGUGAGAGGGGCACCUUUACAAACUCAUAAAUCUAGGCUACAUAAAUGCUUAUAUGCUGGGUCCCACUGAAAAACACGAUUCCUGCAUAGUGUCUAUGUUCUCUGUGUCCUCUUUCGCUUCCUUGGAUGCUAGCGCCUGCUAGCUGGCUGAACUUAUCGCCUCUCUUGGAUCUGCCCUCAGAAAUAAACAUGCCCCGGCUCUUAUUUCUGGCAGAACUCUAAGGAAACCUGGACACAGUUUGCAGUGAUCAGAAAUCUGCUCAGAUGGCAGAAAAACAAAAACAAGACAAUUUGGGAUAAAGAGUCCAUGUAGAGCCCUGUUUUAACUGUUGUUCUUCAGUUCUUGAUUUAUUUUACUCCUGGUACACUUUGCUCUUGGUUCUGUCAAGAACUCAGGGGCAAGAAGGCCAACUCCUGAAGGCCCACUUAAUUCAGCAUCUGUGGUCUAACUGAUCAGAGUUACGUAAGAUGAACUUCAGCAUAACAUAACCAGUCCCAACUGAAAGGUACGUUGCUGCACAACAUAUGCAAAAUACAUGAUCAUAGGAAGGAUUAACAAAUUGCUUGGCUUCAUUCUUCAAUUCUAUAAUCUCUUCCAUGUGGGAACAUCUCCACACCCAGGCAGUACCCCAGUGGCCUCCAUGAAGUUCUGUGCUCUCUUGUUGUGGCUCUGUGCAUCAAGUGGCAACAUUAGGGAUUGUCCUUGUCAGGACUUUUUUCUAAAACAUUUGUUUCCACAGGCAAUUUUGUGGGUCUUUAGUGAGAUGGAGGGAGAAGUCUGAAGAAGAAGAGAAUGAACUUGGAUUUGUGCCAGAACAUGUGGUAGAUAGUAGUAGUCUGAUUUCUACAAUGGAGGUGUUGCAGCCAAUGAACUCGGUAUUUUUCCUAUUAAUGAAUUUUAAGGUUGGCAAGAAGCUGAGUAGACAAACACAACAAGCGUAGCUAGGAAUAUUAACUCUGUUAAUAUUGUUGUAUUUCUCCUCUCCAUGUCCCAGUAUGUAUACAAAAACCCCUCUGUUUCUUUUCAACUCUAUGCAGAUUAAACCAAGAGAUGAUAAACACCUAUAAGUGACCAGUUUGGCAACACCAGAAAUGCUAUAUCCAGAGAUAAUUUUAUUCUUAAACUGAGUUAUGUGUGGCACACUGCAAAUUAAUGAUUUAGGCCAUGAAAGAAAAAAUAAGAUAAAAAAGUAUUUCGUGUUGUCAUUCAGCCACAUGUGUUUCAGAACACAUUGUGUUUUAGAAUCACUGGAUGCAAUUUUUCUUAAUGACACCUGCUGGGAAGACAGAAAGUGGCAGGGGAAAAAAAAAAGUAGUUUAAAAAAAUGUAAUUCUCUCAAUAUUUUCCAGAGUGGCAUGUAACUAAUCUCAAUUAAUUAAUUAAUUAAUUUUUGCAAGGUACCGAUUUCAAAUAAAAAAAAAAAAUCAACAUCCAUGUUGAUUUUACUUAGGGACAAGAAACUCCCCUCCCCUCCUGUGCCCUCCUCUCCUCUCCCCUCCCCUCCUCUCCCCCUUUUUUUUCAAGCUCUUCAACUUUGCAAAGUCUGCUGAAUGAAGGCAGAACUUGUUUGUAGUAGUCUUGUUCAAGUUUGUGAAGGCUUCCAUUAGAACUACUGAAGAAAGAUAAAAUGUUUUGCACAUUUACCAUUGUGUAUUGUUAUAGUUCUAAUUUCAGCCCCAAUAUAUUUGCUUUGCAUUUGUGCUUUGAGUUGGUUUCACUGAUGAAGACAUAAUAAAUUAUACAUAAAAGAGUGAUUUGCUAAGAUGAAGUUCAUUAGGCAGUUCUUCUAACUUGUGAGGCAUCAGAAACCAUACACUUUGUGCGUUGGUUUACAGCUGUAAAACAGACAUUAAAUUACCAAAUGAAGGCUUGGUGCCAGUUUCCAGUGAAGCCAGUGGCAGAACUCCAUUUAUUUUAGUGGUUCAGUGUGAAUCAUGUAAUAAUCACAACUAUCCAGAAAUUAAGAGAUUCUGUCUUUGAGUCAAAACCUCAGGUUUGCAAUGCAGAAAAUAGAGAUUACAAAAAAAAAACAAAAACAAAAACAAAACAACAACAACAACAUCAAAAAAAAACCACACACACACACAAAAAACAAAAACAAAAAACCAACAACAAAAAGAAAAACCUUUAAAUUUUCUUUUUCUUUUUUUUUUUUUUUAAAUGACAAUAUCAAAAGAUGUCAUCUGUUUUUCAGUCAUUUUUGUCCAUUCUGUAUCAUUGUAUUACAAACCAAAGUUUAACAACCCUGACCUGUCAUGUCAUAAGGAAAAAGGAGGCUGUAAUGUCCAAUGUUUCUGGUGGUUCCACUGAUCUAUAAAGUAGCAUGGCUAUGCAAGUGCCUUAUAUCCACUUACUGGGUUGGACGGAGAAGGUGCUCGUGAAGUUUUGAUAGAUAAUGCCCUCCUUCUGAUUCUGUUUAGAAGGUAGUGCUGAGCUCAGGUAUCAAGAAUAGACCAUUUUUAUUUUAUCACAAAAAACCUGCCUGAGCUGGAAAGGAAGAAUUUGGAGAAAAGUGCCCACCCUUUGCUAAAAUUCUAAUAUUACUUUUGAACAAAUUGGUGCUGUAAGUCUUGUAUGCAAGAACAAAAUUUUUAAUAUGCCUUCAUAUUAAUGAUGGAAGAUUUCCAAACAGUUGAAGAGAUUUCAGAAUGUAAGUACCCAACCCUGUGAAAGAAAGAUGGUUGAGUGGGGCCCCAUCAUACUUUUCUUAUUUGUUUCCUGAAAGUGGGAGCAAAUAAGAGAAAAAUGUGGAAGUACUUAUCCACCUUUUAAAAGAUUUCUGCCCCUUUUAUAUUGGCUGAAGAAAAAGAAACUGGACUGGUGGCUUAUAGACUGAAAGCAUUCACUAAGUAAGCAUGAGCCUCUGAGCAGGGAGCCCAUAGUGGACUUAAAGCAAAAACCUAUCCCUAAUCCUGGAACCAUCAUGAAGCAGAGAAUGUUAGUCAUUUACAGCUGCCUGGCAUUGUUGAUGGGGUACAAAUUGAAAUCUCUGGUCUGCCAGGCUUGUCAACACCUUUGAAAUCUGCUGCCCAGUCUGGAUCCCCAAAGGACUGUGAGAGAGUGAAAGAGCCAAACCAACAGCCAAAGACAGAAUCCACCUACUUGUCCCGUUUUCUUCCUUUGUCUUUGUUUCUUUUCCGCUUUUAUAAUUGCCUUUCUUUUUGCUUGUUCUUAUCCCAACACUAAUGUUGUAAUAUUGGUAAGUGGUUUAAUUAGAAGAUUUAUUAACUUGUGUUUUCAAUCUUUUACUGAGAAGAAGCACCAAAAACCUAACAUCAAAAUAAAAGCUAUUACACAAUCUGCUAGUUGGGUGCAGUCCGUCCCCUUUGAAUUCUAUGGCUAAAUUCCCGUUGGCUUUCAUGGGAGCCUAUUAAGGAACAAGCUCUUGUUAUUUUGUAAUAUGCAUGCCACAUGGGGUCUCAAUUUAGUCACUUAACUAAAGGCACCUAAACAAGUGGCCUUUUUUUAGUGAUGUGAAUAACUCAAGUGGCUAAAUGGGAAUACAUGUGCCUAAUUUUAGUACAUCCACAGUUGAGUAUGGUAACCACAGUCUGGUUUCAAAACUUCAUUUAUACAGGUUGGCAUUUAUCAGUGACUGAGGAUGGCUUGACAAUCUGUAUGUGCAUCAAAAACACUUCUAAUGAAAAAUAAACUUCCCAUAAAUCUAAAAUAAAAGCAAAUAUAAGGGAGAGAAGUAAAUACGAAACAUAAAUCUGGGAUUAGCUUGACAACAGUAAUUAUGAUAGUAAUUAAUUGCCUCUUUUCAGUGUAUUUCUAAUAUUGCAGAUUAUUAAUGCUGUAAAAGUAUAAAGUAAUUUAAGCUGUCAUCAAAACUUGGAUAGUGUUUUCCUGGAGCAGCACACUGCAGAGGAUUUGGUAAAUAUCCAAGAACUGGUAAAUUUAGAGCACAAAAUGUUUAAUGCACUUGGUUAUUAAACACCAAACUAUAAACAAGUGCUUCAAUAUUUGGAAAAUCAUGACCUCCAAUAUAAUAUCAUUUACAAAAAUAGUUUCCAAGUCACAGUAAUAUAAACUAAGAAUUUACAAAAUCAUUGUUUGUUCUUUUCAUAAGGUGAAUAUUGAAAUUUGUCUUGUCAAUUUAAGGAUUAGUCAGAUUUAUUUAUUUAUUUUUUUUUUUGUUACACCAUUGCAAAGAAUUGCUUCAAGUUCCACCAGUGAAGUUCUUUAUUUUGAAAUAUAUUCAGAAGGUAUGGGUUAUGUAAGACUAGAUGUAUAAGAUUACUUGUGAUUCUAUGAUUCAGUGAUCUUAAGGCCUUUAAUAAUAUCAACAUAUACAUUCGCACAGAGGGUAUACAUACACCUUGCCAUUGAGAACAAAUAUUUUAUUCUUUCAGCAACCUUAACUCUAACUUAGGAGUUGUGUAUAACUUCUACAAGUUCAUCUUAGUUCUUCAGAAACCUCUCCUCCAGUGCUUAGACCUUUUUCUUUUAAUUAGUUAAUUGGUUAAUUAAUUAAUUUAUUUAAAUCAGAAAUCACAUGCACUAGGUCAGAUUGUGCUUUUCUACUUUGACAGCAAUGAAGAUUUCAUGCACCAACUUUUGCAGGUUCUUUAGAGGAUGUACCUACGCUCUGAAAACCUUUCUUACACUCUUCCUUGUUUUUAAGGCCAUUUAACCCAGAUUCCAUGUGCCCAGUAAAUCUGUCAGGAGAAGAUUCCAUCUUUUAUGGUUUUAUUGCAGCAGAUCUCUGGUGUUCACAGAGGUUAGCUGUGUCACUUGUAGUAGCAAAUCCUCUGCAACUAACAUGAUCUUUAUUCAUAGGGCCAAGUGGUUGGAAGCAGUCUGUUGACUAUCUAAUCCAUGACUAUUCAUCUGGGAAUCUCUUGGUUGUCAUGAUCACUGGGACAUGACACUAACCCAGGGCCUUCCUCUCUAACACUGUGAACAUCCCCAACCCUUCUGGCAACUAUUUCCAGCAGCAGCUGUAUGAAGUUGAGGUGUUAGGAGCACAUUUCCUUCAUUAGCCUAGAGCUCAAACACAAGAUUUCAGUACCAGCAGAAGUUUCUUUAUUUCUCUUCUUUGAAUAAAAAGCUCGUUUUAUGAGAGUCAAUAAAUGCAAAUUACCAUGGGUGGGCAGAAAGUUAGUUGGAAGCUUGAGAGCGAGCUCAUUCUUCAAUGCUUUUCUCAGCUGUUGCAGGAUCAUAGAAUAGCUUGGGUUGGAAGGGACUUUAAAGAUCACCUAAUUCCACCCACCCUGUCAUGGGAAGGGACACCUUCCAUUAGAUCAAUCCCCAUCCAGUCUGGCCUUAAACACCUCCAGGAAUAGUUAUCUUUUGAUAGACUUCAGAGAGAGAGUUAGAGCACAAGAUAAGAAGUCCUCAGUCUUCAGUGAUGUCUGCCUAGUAUUCAUUCCUAGAAUUGUGUGGAGAGUUUCAGGAUGAAUACUUCUACUUCUUCAAGACAUAAGUGUUGGCUUGUACUCUUUCCAUGGCUGUUUCUUUUCUCAUCUUCUGGGGUCAAGGCAAACCCUGGAUGUUACAGAAAAGGCUAGUUUACUUUUUUAGAUUGGAUUGAUUGAGUUAUUAUUAUUAUUUUUUUAAUCUGUUGAGCUAUGGUUAGAUGGUUAGGAAGAGUCUACUUACAAAAUGUGCAGCAUCCUCCAUUUCCUGUGGAUGCAUUAUUUCUGGAUCCUGGUCCUCAAUAUUCUAAAAGCUUUAAUCAAACUGUUUCCUUUUUUUUUUUUUUUUUUUUUUUAAUGGAAUUUUCUCCUCUGUAAGACUUGAAACUUGUGUUAAGAACCCUUCUCACAUCCUUCCCAUGAACCUGUAGCAACAUGCUCACUGAUAUAUUUGCCAUAUGUAAAAAUGUUUAUUGUUAGUAUGCUUUCUCCUGGAGGAUAGGAGGGUCUUCUCCUGUGUGUUGUAUCCAUUCCUUAUGGGAUGUUUCUUCUGAGACCCAUCCUUAUUACUGGCUUGGAAUUCUAUCUCAGAAAUUUGAAUUUUGUCUGCUUUUCAUAUGUGUUUUAUACACACUGAAUGCCUGUAAGGUUCUACCUUAUUUCUGAUUUCUGACAAGAUCACAAAUUCCUGGUGAUCUCUGGUGAUUUCAGCCACCAGCUGAAGGAUGUGGGGAUAAUGUCAUCUCUGCAUGCAGACCGUUCAUGUAGAUAAGAGCUGGCAUGGAGAAUUUUGAUACAACAGUCAAGGCUGCAUCUGUGAUUGGAGAACAUGCCACUUCAGCUAAGUGCAUGGUAAUACUGAGAAAUUUCAUUUUUCCUAUCAUCUGCUGAGAAUUUACCUGGAGCUCUCUGUUGUGUCCUCUGUGUGAAUGUUGUGUCAAUAGGUAUUUGGGGGAUCACUGUUAAAUAGAAGAACAACUUAUUUAAAAUUUAGAAAGCUUUUUUCAGAAUGUGAAUAUAUAUUCACAUUCACCUUUUCUCCUGACAGUGGACAUCAAGAAAGACAGAAUCAGUUUGUCCUCUACAGAAAGGAACAAGAGAGAAACUAUUUUAGAAGGAAGGCUUACAUGGUCAAAAAACAGUGAGAAUCUACACACUAUUCAUAGCAAUAUGGAAACACAAGCUGUAAGAGAAAUUCUGUUUGUUCCAGCUUCCAUUUCUUCAGGCUUGGAUUCAGUGGUAUAAAGCCUCAGUAAGCAAGUACAUCUAUUCUGUAUCCUUUUAAGAUAUACUACUUUGCUGUAUCGUUCACUACAUAAUGAAAUAAAUGCAGGGAAACUUCACAGAGUGCAUACUGCCAAUUUAUCCUAGAAUGUCUCAGCUUGUACUGGCGCAUGGCCUGACCACCACAGCACCACGGUGUGCUCCCAACUCCUGCACUGCUCUAGUGCUGACUUGCUGUGUGGCCAUAUGCAAAUAAACCAACUGUCCCUCAGCCUGGUGUUCUGUCCUUGUAAAGAUGGCAGUGCUCAUCUCUAGAAGAAGGAGACCUUCUCCAAUUGAAUCCAAUCACAGCAAGCUACCGAAGCUUUGAUCUCUCAGCUGGGUAUGAGACAGGGUGCUGCCAGCCCAACUGUGGUGUCCAUGCGAGUAGGGUCCAAGGCAGGAUGGGUACCACAAGAUUUACUCUGUGGGAAAAUUCCAGCUGAAGCCAGGACUGGGUUCCCUGACUUCAUCAGGCUGUUUCUGAGUGCUUCAUAAGCUAAACUGGCACCAGUAAAAUCACUUUUCAUAGCACUGCGAAUAUAUAACAAGGUCUAAAAAUGCAACAGAGAAGUUCACUCUGUGAUUACUGUUAAUUAUUUACCCAGCACAAAGAAGUAGUUUCCACAGAUGCCAGUAUUCAAUGCUACCUUGAAAUAGAUAAGUAUAUCCAUAUUAAUUGUAUGUGUCACAACAUUAAAAAUACUAGGAUCCCAUACUUAAUACAAGCUCUUUUAUUGACUUUGCAAAACGUAAGCAUUCCUUUGUCUCAUGUUGUAUACAACUUGAACAUACAUUUAGUAAUACAUCAUUUGUCUUAUACAUCUAAGAGAGAGCAAAUAGAGAAUAGAAAUAAUAACAUCAAUUUGACUGAGAAUAUUUCAACAGGAACAUCAUUUUUGAAGACAAUUAUGAGUCUUAGAUGAUUUGUGACUGGAUUUUCUCAAAAAAUUUUUUUAAAGUUAACAAGAAUUUUGCCCAUAUACUUAAAAUUGAAGGCAUCAUUAUUGUUAAUUAAAAAAUAUUU